rnacentral:rRNA from 1 species
ACGGAAGGCAGCAGUGAGGAAUAUUGGUCAAUGGUCGGAAGACUGAACCAGCCAAGUCGCGUGCAGGAAGACGGUCCUAUGGAUUGUAAACUGCUUCUGCGCGGGGGUAAAGUCGGGGACGGGUCCCCGAUUGCAAGUACCGCGCGAAAAAGGAUCGGCUAACUCCGUGCCAGCAGCCGCGGUAAUACGGAGGAUCCGAGUGUUAUCCGGAUUUAUUGGGUUUAAAGGGUGCGCAGGCGGGAUGUCAAGUCAGUGGUGAAAUGGUGCGGCUCAACCGUAGCAUUGCCGUUGAAACUGGCGUCCUUGAGUGCGAAUGAGGUACGCGGAACGUGUCAUGUAGCGGUGAAAUGCAUAGAUAUGACACAGAACACCGAUUGCGAAGGCAGCGUACUGGGACGCGACUGACGCUGAGGCACGAAAGUGCGGGGAUCGAACAGGAUUAGAUACCCUGGUA